GUUCAUUUAGUAUAAAAAGUAUAUUUGACUUCCAAUCAAAAGGACUGAAAUCAGAAUGAAUA
rnacentral:tRNA from 2 species